GAACCCAGGGACAUGUUUGGGAAAUUGUGUGACAUCACCUCAGGCCCUGUGGACAUGGCGGAGGAGGGAGGAGUGUGAGAAAGAGGCAGUUGGCUUUGCCCAUGUCUGUCGUGUCCUGAGGAACACUGGGACAGGAAAUGCCCAGCGUUUCUCUACUGUUUACUGGACGCCAGACCCACAGAUUUUGAAGGUUGCCUUGGGAGUCAUGAAGAGAUGAAGGGAGAAGGAGGAGGAGCAUUGGUUUUCUGCCUCUUGUGGGACUGCCCUGGAGAUUCAAGAUGGAGUUCUGCAGAAUGGGAUGAGGAUGGGGAAGCUCCGACUGAGAGAACAAAAGACAUCAAGUUGAAAGGAUGAAACCCUCUUCCUGUGAUUUACAAGAAGAGAAACAAGGCCACAGAAAGUCCUAGUUUUUAUACCUUAGCAUGUGGGCAGCCACAAAAAGCCUGGGUCCUUUAUAUCAGUCUUGUCCCAAAACUUCCAUGGAAGGGUUCAGGUAAAUCUGAGGGUCGGGGUUUAUAUAUGAACCAAUCAGCUGUCACUAGGCAAUGGCUUCUGUCAUUGGCUAGGCUUUGGUAGGUGACCAGCCCUGAACCAUCAAUACUGGCCAGGGAAAGGGCAUCACAUUCCUAUGGGAUGGCACCCAUGGUGACCAUGUGGAUAAGAGAGGAACAGUUCUUAGUAAGAAGGUGCCUUGUAGGUAUUUACUUCAGAGCACAUAAGAAUCCAGAAUGGAAUGAAGGAAAGAAGAGCCUGACAGUUUGCCUAGAAAACCACUUAACAUUUGAAAAUUUUUUUUUAUGAUCCAGCCAGCAUAUGAUGUUUGGUUUGAUCGGACACCUGCCUUAUUUUUUCCUUCUAAAUUAUAAAUGCUUUGAGGUUCUGGACUGUUUUGUCAUUGUUGUUGCCCAUCUCUCAAUGAGAGACUCUCUCCCAAGUCUCUAGCUUAGCUUCUAUUCGUUGAUACUAGCAUCAGAUAGUGAGGAAACUCCCAAGCAAAAGGAGCAGUCAAUACUGCCAGAAUAAUGUCAUAGAAUGUUUUAAGGAUUAAAUGAGGUAACAUAUAAAAUCCUUAGAUAGUGACUGGCAUCUUGCAAAUGGUCAAUAAUUAGUAAUAAAAAUUAUAAUAAAAUAUUUAAAAAUCACCUUGUUGGAAUAUAUAAACAUAUGUUUAAUGUGCUAACAGCUUCUAAUGUCUAUAUUCUUGAUUUAACCCCUAGGUUAUGAACAUAAGUCAGAGGCAUAAUUUGCUGAGUAUAAUUGAUAAUUAGAUGCUUAUCAGAUGGUGGGAAUGUAAACUGAUACAGCCGUUAUGGAGAACACUAUGGAUAUUCCUUUGAAAGCUAGGAAUAAAUCUACUGUAUGAUCCAGUAAUACUACUAUUGGCUUAUACCCUGAGAAAGCCACAAUUCUAAUAGACAAACAUACCCCAAAGUUCAUUGCAGCACUAUUUACAAUAGCCAGGACAUGGAAACAACCUAGAUGUCCAUCUGUAGAU